GAUGAACGCGGCGGCGUGCCUAAUACAUGCAAGUAGAACGCUGAAGGAGGAGCUUGCUCUUCUGGAUGAGUUGCGAACGGGUGAGUAACGCGUAGGUAACCUGCCUGGUAGCGGGGGAUAACUAUUGGAAACGAUAGCUAAUACCGCAUGACAACAGUUAUUGCAUGAUAACUGUUUAAAAGGGGCAACUGCUCCACUACCAGAUGGACCUGCGUUGUAUUAGCUAGUUGGUGAGGUAACGGCUCACCAAGGCGACGAUACAUAGCCGACCUGAGAGGGUGAUCGGCCACACUGGGACUGAGACACGGCCCAGACUCCUACGGGAGGCAGCAGUAGGGAAUCUUCGGCAAUGGACGGAAGUCUGACCGAGCAACGCCGCGUGAGUGAAGAAGGUUUUCGGAUCGUAAAGCUCUGUUGUAAGAGAAGAGCGAGUGUGAGAGUGGAAAGUUCACACUGUGACGGUAUCUUACCAGAAAGGGACGGCUAACUACGUGCCAGCAGCCGCGGUAAUACGUAGGUCCCGAGCGUUAUCCGGAUUUAUUGGGCGUAAAGCGAGCGCAGGCGGUUAGAUAAGUCUGAGGUUAAAGGCUGUGGCUUAACCAUAGUACGCUUUGGAAACUGUUUAACUUGAGUGCGAGAGGGGAGAGUGGAAUUCCAUGUGUAGCGGUGAAAUGCGUAGAUAUAUGGAGGAACACCGGUGGCGAAAGCGGCUCUCUGGCUUGUAACUGACGCUGAGGCUCGAAAGCGUGGGGAGCAAACAGG
rnacentral:rRNA from 1 species